ACGCUGGCGGCGUGCUUAACACAUGCAAGUCGAACGAAGAGCGAUGGAAGCUUGCUUCUAUCAAUCUUAGUGGCGAACGGGUGAGUAACGCGUAAUCAACCUGCCCUUCAGAGGGGGACAACAGUUGGAAACGACUGCUAAUACCGCAUACGAUCCAAUCUCGGCAUCGAGGAUGGAUGAAAGGUGGCCUCUAUUUAUAAGCUAUCACUGAAGGAGGGGAUUGCGUCUGAUUAGCUAGUUGGAGGGGUAACGGCCCACCAAGGCGAUGAUCAGUAGCCGGUCUGAGAGGAUGAACGGCCACAUUGGGACUGAGACACGGCCCAGACUCCUACGGGAGGCAGCAGUGGGGAAUCUUCCGCAAUGGACGAAAG
rnacentral:rRNA from 1 species